UACGUAGGGUGCGAGCGUUAAUCGGAAUUACUGGGCGUAAAGCGUGCGCAGGCGGUUUGUUAAGACAGAUGUGAAAUCCCCGGGCUUAACCUGGGAACUGCAUUUGUGACUGGCAAGCUAGAGUGUGGCAGAGGGGGGUGGAAUUCCACGUGUAGCAGUGAAAUGCGUAGAGAUGUGGAGGAACACCGAUGGCGAAGGCAGCCCCCUGGGCUAACACUGACGCUCAUGCACGAAAGCGUGGGGAGCAAACAGG
rnacentral:rRNA from 1 species